CGAAGGCCUAGCACAAACCUUCAGGGCUCUUUCUCAAUGCGGUUUCAGAAUACCUAAUGGCGGAUUUUUCAGAGAAAAACAUUGCACGUUAUUAAACUCCUUAAGUACUUUUACUACUCUGGUUAUCUCCUUCUGUCAAGCGGUCAAGCGGUGAGUGGAUAAUUUGUAGCAUAUUGGACGACCGGGCUUACGUUACGAACUACGAAGUUUGUCGACAGUGACUGUAUAACUUCAGUUUACGAGAAACCGAAGUUUAACUAACACGGUUACUCUAUUUAACUUCUACCACUUUGCGUCGGCCGAUACUUCAAAAACCCAUUGCUGAUGUAGCGGCACUACAGAUUUAAAGGGACGUCAAGAAAUAGAUUUCUAGUGUCAGUAGAAGUCUCUGUUUAUACGUUAACAAGUGCUAAGUCAGUGAAAAAAAAGUUCACGUGAUGUCCGCCAGUGCCGCCAUCUACCAGUGCCAUUCUUAUACACAGAAUAACUUGACAAGAAAACUUCUUUUCCUAUCUUGUGAAUUUUACCUUUCGACAAGCCACUCGCCUCUGCUCUUCUCUACUUUUGCACCAAGACUGCUUUUAUGAAAAAGAGUUACUCUCUCAGGUGGGCCACGGGCUUCUUUUCUCGAGCCUCUUUGCGAAGCGAACCUUCUUCUCUUCAACGAGCUAUUUUAUGGAGUAGAACUUUCCGAAACUACUCUCAGGUGAACGCGCUUCCCCCGACUCACCCUUCACCACCCAUCCGCCGUCUUUUCCUGUCCCUGGAGAAGCCGAAAAAGAAUGAGAAGCUGGAUGGCAAGAAAGAAUGGAUUUCCGAGUUAAUAUCCAGAAGAGCAAUAUUGGCUCUCAAGAAAUCGUAUACUGAAUCAGUAUUUACAAAAAAAAAGAAACACUAUAAUACGUUCGUCAAACCAUAAAAACAUUUACACAUCCGUCAGAUACCAUGUUCAACGCAUAUAAAAUUUCGAUAGAAAAGACUUCACAUUAAAUAUCCAACACAAUUCGAAGAUCGCGUCCGCCAUUAAUCAGCUGCAAAGACACUCGCUUGAUUCGCGUAGUCGUCACUUGUGCGCAUGCGCAAGCCACAACUCAUUCUCCACGUUUGAGCGACGCGUCGACACUUCCUACAGUAACCUCCAAUCAACCGAUUCAUGCGGUAUAAAUGAACUGCGAGUCGCACGAUUCAAAGCAAAUUCACUGCAACUGACAAUUACCUUGGUAUUUCGAAAUUCGUAACAUGGCCGAAUUGCUCAACGUCAAUAGCAACGCGUCCCUUCUACGUAUCCCCAGCUCUGUAUAUCGAGGAUAUCGAUGGGAUUUUCCGGGUGUCCUCUCGCUACGAUACGGCUAUACCAGGGAACAGGAAUGAGAUCGAACUUGAGAGAGAAACGAUGGCGGCGUGGCUGACAACGCUGAGCGUGCAAAUGGCAAGACAGCGACGGGCAUUAAUCUUCGCACUAGUCCAGCUGAUGAAGUAGCAAUUUCCUCCUGAUAGUAAGAGGAAAUAGGGCCGGCAGACCAGUUGAUCAAACCGUGCACACUGACUCGAACCAAACUCUAGCUCCCUCCCAGCCCUAUCCCUGACGUCAUUCCAUCGUUCACUCACCCAGAUCCUAUACUGCCUGUUUCUGCUACUAACGCUACCUCUUCUGGCUGAUCGAUGAUGCACUGUAUCUACUGACUCUUGCUCCAUGCAUCGUAAGCACUGUAGACGUGUGUGUAUAUAUAUUAUAUACGUCUAUACAUACCCGCUGCCCUACGAAUGUGCAUUUUUAUAUAUUUUUUGAAUUUCCCGUCGUGUCAACGCGUUCAGGAUCGUAGAUAAAAAUUGCAUGGAUAUAGUUUAACCGUUAAUAUUUCUACGUCUAUUGUCUCUUAGUAGAAGAAUGUUAAACGUAUGAAAGGACUGGCGAGAGGUACGGUGGCUGCGUGGUUAAGUCUCGUGAAAAUGAGCUUUUUAUUAUAUCUCUUUAUACGUGCGGUACUGGACUGUAAAAAAUUUGUAUAAAUAUGAGAUGCAUAUAUUUUGUAUAAUAUUCGCGAGACUUGGCACGGCAUGCUCUGCGAGUAUACUUGUAUAUCAAUGAAUCUACGGUAAAAUUAUAUUCCGUUAUAUUAGCGUUGUGGGAAGUCUAAAAUUAAUUGUAAGGAAGGAAACGUUAUAAAUUACGUAUACAUAUAUUUUUUUUAACGAAACUCCAUUUAUCUUUGGCUAAUAGAACAAAAAAUAUGUCACUGUAUUCCAAUUCGAUAUCGGAUAUAAUUCUGAUACGUAUCCUCGUUGAUUUACAUAUUCCGUGUAUCGUUUAAAGCAACGUAUAUCUACGGGUAUCAGUUGUUUCCGGCGUACUGACGUUUCUUCGAUAUUUACAUAAAAACAAAUUAAAGAGAGAUAACGGCACGUCGCAAGAACGCGAGUAGGUUGACUUUUUCAAUUACGUGAUCUUGAAAAAUGUACUAAAGAUUUCGUGCGGCCAUCUUGUCCGGGCAAUUGAGGUCAGAAGGUCGCCGAGGAGAAAUUACGAUCCCAAUCGAAAUAACGAAGAAAGAGUCGGGAUAAUUAAUUGCGUAAUCUCGAAGAAGUAUAUAUAGAUAUAUAUUACGGUAAAAAUACACAUAUACUCAAAAAAACCUAUUUAUUAAGUAUUUCACGUAAUUAAUUUAGAUCGUAGGUAGAAAAGGUGUUCUUUGUAAAUAAAAAAAAUUUUUUUACCCGACAAUGAAAAGUUAGAAUAUUCCGUUACGUCAUGUUCG